UGAGUACGAGCUGCUACGGCAGCGAAGUGGGUGACGUCAAGCUUCCAAGAAAAGCCCUAUACCCGCUAAGGCAUGAUGGCCUGUACCCGAAACCGACACAGGUGGGGUGGUAGAGAAUACCGAGGGGCGCGAGAUAACUCUCUCUAAGGAACUCGGCAAAAUGGCCCCGUAACUUCGGGAGAAGGGGUGCCACCGCAAGGUGGUCGCAGUGAAGAGGCCCAGGCGACUGUUUACCAAAAACACAGGUCUCCGCUAAGUCGCAAGACGAUGUAUGGGGGCUGACGCCUGCCCAGUGCCGGAAGGUUAAGGAAGCUGGUCAGCGUAAGCGAAGCUAGCGACUGAAGCCCCGGUGAACGGCGGCCGUAACAAUAACGGUCCUAAGGUAGCGAAAUUCCUUGUCGGGUAUGUUCCGACCCGCACGAAAGGCGUAACGAUCUGGGCGCUGUCUCGGAGAGAGGCUCGGCGAAAUAGAAUUGUCUGUGAAGAUGCGGACUACGUGCACCCGGACAGAAAGACCCUAUGAAGCUUUACUGUAGCUUGGUAUUGUGCUCGGGCUCGGAAUGCGCAGGAUAGGUGGGAGGCUAUGAACCAUUGCUUGUGGGUGAUGGUGAGCCACUGGUGAGAUACCACUCUUUCCGAGCUAGAGUUCUAACAGCCACCCGUUAUCCGGGGGCUGGACAGUAUCAGGUGGGCAGUUUGACUGGGGCGGUCGCCUCCUAAAAGGUAACGGAGGCGCGCAAAGGUUUGCUCAGGCUGGUUGGAAAUCAGCCGACGAGUGUAAAAGCAGAAGCAAGCUUGACUGUGAGACCUACAAGUCGAACAGGGAGGAAACUCGGCUUUAGUGAUCCGACGGUUCUGCGUGGAAGGGCCGUCGCUCAACGGAUAAAAGUUACUCUAAGGAUAACAGGCUGAUCUCCCCCAAGAGUUCACAUCGACGGGGAGGUUUGGCACCUCGAUGUCGGCUCAUCGCAACCUGGGGCUGAAGUCGGUCCCAAGGGUUGGGCUGUUCGCCCAUUAAAGCGGUACGCGAGCUGGGUUCAGAACGUCGUGAGACAGUUCGGUCCAUAUCCGGUGCAUGCGCAGGAAUAUUGAGAGGAUUUCUCCCUAGUACGAGAGGACCGGGAGGAACGCACCUCUGGUGUACCAGUUACCGUGCCAACGGUAAACGCUGGGUAGCCAUGUGCGGAGAGGAUAACCGCUGAAAGCAUCUAAGUGGGAAGCCCACCUCAAGAUGAGUAUUCCCAUGGGGUAACCCAGUAAGGUCACGGGAAGAACACCCGUUGAUAGGCUCUACGUGGAAGCGCAGUAAUGUGUGAAGCGGAGGAGUACUAAUAGACCGAGGGCUUGACC
rnacentral:rRNA from 1 species